UGGGGGAUAGCUUAAUAGGUAAAGCACCGCAAAAGCAAUGCGGUAGAUGCGGUUCAAAUCCGAUCACCCCAU
rnacentral:tRNA from 1 species